rnacentral:misc_RNA from 1 species
GUGUACAUGCACCGGAAGUAUAUUAUAAUUUCCUUGUUUAAGAGGGAGAGAAUAUUGAAAAGUAGCAUGGCAACAUUUUGAGAGAACAAAGUCUUCUUUGUAAUCGUUGAUCAAGAAAAUAUUGUAGUUAGUAAGUAAGUAUAAUAUACCAAAUCGAUGGCUUAAGCCACAUAUAGAGUGGCUUUCUCGGACAGGGUCACUCUCGGACAAAUGAUAUCGUGGCUUUCCUUUGAAUAUCCUAUUCCCUUGGUCUUGUUUUGAGCUACUGUUGGUUUUUGGAGACUAUCUUUUUUUGAAGGUGCAGCUGCAGGUGCUCUGGGCAUUUAUCUUUGGCUUGGCUUUGAUGCUUUUUGGUCUCAUUGGUUUUUCCCAGUGCUUCGAUUUUUAUUAUCUCUUCAGCUUCAUUUGGACCCUCUUCUUUAUCUUUUUGAUGCAUCAUUUGCCAAGCGUUUUUACUUAACAUUUAUUGUCUUCCUAGGCUGGAUGUAUUGGGGAGAUCUAUUGAUCUAGGUUUAGUUGUACAAUACACUAUUAAGUUUUCCUGAUUCUCUUAUUAAUUUUUAAUAAAAUUUUUGCUUAUAAAAAA